rnacentral:rRNA from 1 species
UACGUAGGUGGCAAGCGUUGUCCGGAUUUAUUGGGCGCAAAGGGAGCGCAGGUGGUUUCUUAAGUCUGAUGUGAAAGCCCACGGCUUAACCGUGGAGGGUCAUUGGAAACUGGGGAACUUGAGUGCAGAAGAGGAGAGUGGAAUUCCAUGUGUAGCGGUGAAAUGCGUAGAUAUAUGGAGGAACACCAGUGGCGAAGGCGACUCUCUGGUCUGUAACUGACGCUGAGGCUCGAAAGCGUGGGGAGCAAACAGGAUUAGAUA